rnacentral:rRNA from 1 species
CUGGUCUGAAGGAUGAUCGCCACACUGGACUGAGACCGGCCCAGAUCCUACGGGGGCAGCAGUGGGAAUUUUGACAAUGGGGCAAGCCUGUCCAGCCAUCCGCGUGAGGAAGAAGGCUUCGGGUUGAAAGCUCUUCGGCCGGGAGAAAUCGCUCCUUUAACAGGGGAGUGGUGACGGUACGGAAUAAGAGCACCGGCUACUACGUGCAGCAGCCCGGGUAAUACGAGGGUGCAACGUUAAUCAAAUUACUGGCGUAAAGCGGCGCAGGCGUUUCGUAAGCAGACGUGAAUCCCCGGGUUAACCUGGAACUGCGUUGGGACUGCGGGCUGGAGUUGGCAAAGGAGGUGGAAUCCACAUGUACAGUGAAAUCGUAGAUAUUGGAGGAACCCCGAUGGCAAAGGCAGCUUCUUGGGCAACACUUGAGCUCAUGCCCGAAAGCCGGGGGGAGCA